rnacentral:rRNA from 1 species
UACACCAUUAGGUGUAGUGGUAGGAGAGCGUUCUAAGGGCGUUGAAGGUCGAUCGUGAGGACGGCUGGAGCGCUUAGAAGUGAGAAUGCCGGUAUGAGUAGCGAAAGACAGGUGAGAAUCCUGUCCACCGUAUGACUAAGGUUUCCUGGGGAAGGCUCGUCCGCCCAGGGUUAGUCGGGACCUAAGCCGAGGCCGAUAGGCGUAGGCGAUGGACAACAGGUUGAUAUUCCUGUACCAGUUGUUUUUGUUUGAGCAAUGGAGGGACGCAGUAGGCUAAGGAAUGCAUGCGAUUGGAAGUGCAUGUCCAAGCAAUGAGUCUUGAGUAGAGUUAAAUGCUUUACUCUUUAAGGACAAGUUGUGACGGGGAGCGAAAUAAUAGUAGCGAAGUUCCUGAUGUCACACUGCCAAGAAAAGCUUCUAGUGAGAAAACAACUGCCCGUACCGUAAACCGACACAGGUAGUCGAGGAGAGUAUCCUAAGGUGAGCGAGCGAACUCUCGUUAAGGAACUCGGCAAAAUGACCCCGUAACUUCGGGAGAAGGGGUGCUGACUUCGGUCAGCCGCAGUGAAUAGGCCCAAGCGACUGUUUAUCAAAAACACAGGUCUCUGCAA